rnacentral:rRNA from 1 species
UACGGAGGGCGCGAGCGUUAAUCGGAAUCACUGGGCGUAAAGCGCGCGUAGGCGGCCGAUCAAGUCAGAGGUGAAAGCCCUCGGCUCAACCGAGGAAUUGCCUUUGAUACUGGUCGGCUGGAGUGCAGGAGAGGGUGGCGGAAUUCCCGGUGUAGGGGUGAAAUCCGUAGAGAUCGGGAGGAACACCAGUGGCGAAGGCGGCCACCUGGACUGCAACUGACGCUGAGGCGCGAAAGCAUGGGGAGCAAAC